UCCUACGGGAGGCAGCAGUGGGGAAUAUUGCACAAUGGGCGCAAGCCUGAUGCAGCAACGCCGCGUGAGGGACGAAGGCCUUCGGGUUGUAAACCUCUUUUAGUAGGGAAGAAGCGACUGGGUUUUCCUGGGAGUGACGGUACCUGCAGAAAAAGCACCGGCUAACUACGUGCCAGCAGCCGCGGUAAUACGUAGGGUGCAAGCGUCGUCCGGAAUUAUUGGGCGUAAAGAGCUCGUAGGCGGUUUGUCGCGUCUGCUGUGAAAACCCGAGGCUCAACCUCGGGCCUGCAGUGGGUACGGGCAGACUAGAGUGCGGUAGGGGAGAUUGGAAUUCCUGGUGUAGCGGUGGAAUGCGCAGAUAUCAGGAGGAACACCAAUGGCGAAGGCAGAUCUCUGGGCCGUAACUGACGCUGAGGAGCGAAAGCAUGGGGAGCGAGCAGGAUUAGAUACCCUGGUAGUCCAUGCCGUAAACGUUGGGAACUAGAUGUGGGGACCAUUCCACGGUCUCCGUGUCGCAGCUAACGCAUUAAGUUCCCCGCCUGGGGAGUACGGCCGCAAGGCUAAAACUCAAAGGAAUUGACGGGGGCCCGCACAAGCGGCGGAGCAUGCGGAUUAAUUCGAUGCAACGCGAAGAACCUUACCAAGGCUUGACAUAUACCGGAAACGGCUGGAAACAGUCGCCCCGCAAGGUCGGUAUACAGGUGGUGCAUGGUUGUCGUCAGCUCGUGUCGUGAGAUGUUGGGUUAAGUCCCGCAACGAGCGCAACCCUCGUCCUAUGUUGCCAGCACGUAAUGGUGGGAACUCAUGGGAUACUGCCGGGGUCAACUCGGAGGAAGGUGGGGAUGACGUCAAAUCAUCAUGCCCCUUAUGUCUUGGGCUUCACGCAUGCUACAAUGGCCGGUACAAAGGGCUGCGAUACCGCAAGGUGGAGCGAAUCCCAAAAAGCCGGUCUCAGUUCGGAUUGAGGUCUGCAACUCGACCUCAUGAAGUCGGAGUCGCUAGUAAUCGCAGAUCAGCAACGCUGCGGUGAAUACGUUCCCGGGCCUUGUACACACCGCC
rnacentral:rRNA from 1 species